GUCGGAGUGGCGGAAUGGCAGACGCGCACGUUUGAGGGGCGUGUGGGGUACUCCCGUGGGGGUUCAAGUCCCCCCUCCGACA
rnacentral:tRNA from 1 species